GCGGGAAAUUGGAAUCCCUUUUGUGGAUUAUUCAUAUACACAAGUCGGCAGAUUGGAGGAGGCUGGAAAUUAAGUGCUGAACACGUAAAGUCCGUGGCUGUUAGGGAUUAUCAUAUAUUUAGACAGAAAAAACGGCAGCUUUGGAGAUUAGAAUAAAAUUGGUGGGCUGUCGGAAGUUGGAAAAAUUAUAAGCACACAUCGAAGCCGCAGCUGGGGAGAGAGACAUUGGGCGGCUGUUUCUGGGAAAUAAAAAAGGGCAGCAAGACAUUUACACACACAGAAAAUACAGAAACAGGUGGCGGAAAAUUGAAAAAAAAGAGACAGAAUUACGCACCGCAAUUGAAGGAGAUGGCAGAGACACGAGAUGGACGACGAACACGGGAAAAAAGAAUUCCAAAUUGUCAUGCGUUUAAAAUCAAUCUAUCAUUCUGUGAAAAAUUGGAAAAUUAAUCAUGUUCCAUCAAAUUGUCGAUGAUGCCGUUCCCCUUUUAUUUGUUUAAUUCCGCUGUUAUGUUAGGCUAGGUUUAAAUGUACUAGGAGAUCGAUGAACCUUGUGAUAUAACUUUUUAAUUUCUAGUGUUGACAUCGAAGCCCAUUAUACAACAGUUGAAUGAUUUAUAUACAAUUAAUUGCUUCCAUAA
rnacentral:lncRNA from 1 species